rnacentral:rRNA from 1 species
CGGUGAUCCCGCCGAGGGCAUGCUAUGGGGUCGACUUAGGAAUGCUAGUCGACCGACGUUCACUUGUGAACGGAGAGGCGGACAGCUCAGUAGCACGUGGUCAACCUGCCCUCAUGUGGCGAACAACCUCGGGAAACUGAGGCUAAUGCGCCAUAGGCGGGGAGCUCUGGAACGACUCCUCGCUCAAAGCUCCGGCGCGUGAGGAUGGGACCGCGGCCGAUUAGGUAGUAGGUAGUGUAAGGGACCACCUAGCCUUCGAUCGGUACGGGACGUGGGAGCGUGAGCCCGGAGACGGGUACUGAGACAAGGACCUGGGCCCUAAGGGGCGCAGCAUUCGCGAAAACUCCCCAAUGCGCGAAAGCGUGAGGGGGGAACCCCAAGUGCCAGCACAAAGUGUUGGCUUUUCUGGAGUGUAAAAAGCUCCAGGAAUAAGGGCUGGGUAAGACCGGUGCCAGCCGCCGCGGUAACACCGGCAGCCCGAGUGAUGUCCGGUUUUAUUGGGCUUAAAGCGUUCGUAGCCGGCUUGCUAAGUCCCCGGUCAAAUUCGGCGGCUCAACCGCCGGCUAUCUGGGGAUACUGGCAGGCUUGAGGCCGGGAGAGGUCAGAGGUACUCCUGGGGUAGGGGUAAAAUCCGAUAAUCCUGGGGGGACCACCAGUGGCGAAGGCGUCUGACUGGAACGGGCCUGACGGUGAGGGACGAAACCCUGGGGAGCGAUCCGGAUUAGAUACCCGGGUAGUCCAGGGCGUAAACGAUGUGGGCUGGGUGUGGGCUAAUCAGAAGGAUUAGUCUGUGCCGAAGCGAAAGCGAUAAGCCCACCGCCUGGGGAGUACGGUCGCAAGGCUGAAACUUAAAGGAAUUGGCGGGGGGGCACCACAAGGGGUGGAGCCUGCGGUCUAAUUGGAUUCAACGCCGGG